rnacentral:lncRNA from 1 species
CGGUAAUUUUAUUGAACUAUCAAAUUAAGAUUCGGCAAUUUUAAAAAUUGAUUUCUGCAACAUUUCACUAGUUUGUACAAGUUUUAAUUACUAGUAACCGUUGGGAGACGGGUUUGGCCAAUAAAACCACAGAGAGUGGGUGUAGUGCAUAGAGCUCCACUCGUUUUCGCUAAUCAAUAUUAUUUAAGGAUUAUGUACCCUUGUGUUGAUUCAAUGCUAAACAUAUGGAAAUUUUAUAGAAAAUCCACAGCCUUUAUCCUAGUACUCUCAUAUUUGGCAAUUUGAUGACUGAUAGGAAUAGGAUUAUUGCAUGCAGUGCUGGCAUUGAUUUCCUAAAAACAAGUUUAUUAAUGUAAUUAUUGGUUUCAACACAUAAAAAUAUGGACCAAAUCAAGUACACCUUUAAGGGUGCGCAUUUAGUGAUUCAGCACGAGGUAUUUUGGAAUUUUCAGGUUAGUUACAACAUUUUGUAGAAAAUGAACACUAGCACAUCAUAGAAAAGCAAGUGAGUUACCUAUGUUUCAAAUUUUAU